GGGGAAUAUUGGACAAUGGGGGGAACCCUGAUCCAGCCAUGCCGCGUGUGUGAAGAAGGCCUUAUGGUUGUAAAGCACUUUAAGCGAGGAGGAGGCUCUUUUGGCUAAUACCCCAGAUGAGUGGACGUUACUCGCAGAAUAAGCACCGGCUAACUCUGUGCCAGCAGCCGCGGUAAUACAGAGGGUGCGAGCGUUAAUCGGAUUUACUGGGCGUAAAGCGUGCGUAGGCGGCUUUUUAAGUCGGAUGUGAAAUCCCCGAGCUUAACUUGGGAAUUGCAUUCGAUACUGGGAAGCUAGAGUAUGGGAGAGGAUGGUAGAAUUCCAGGUGUAGCGGUGAGAUGCGUAGAGAUCUGGAGGAAUACCGAUGGCGAAGGCAGCCAUCUGGCCUAAUACUGACGCUGAGGGACGAAAGCAUGGGGAGCAAAC
rnacentral:rRNA from 1 species